rnacentral:lncRNA from 1 species
GUUUUGGGGUACAUGUGAAGAACAUGCAAGACAGUUGCAUAGUUUCCUUUUACUUUACAUGGUAUGAGACAGGUCAGACAUGCAUCACAAGCUGGAAGAUCUACUUUGUCUUGCUGCCCUUGAAACUGACAUUCAAGUGCCUGAAAACGCUCAUGUACUCCAUAUUUUCCCUUGAACAAUCCUUCAAAGAAACCUUUAACCUACUACAACAGGAAUAG